rnacentral:tRNA from 1 species
GGCGUGGCGCAGUUUGGUAGCGCGCCUGCUUUGGGAGCAGGAUGUCGCAGGUUCGAAUCCUGUCGCC